rnacentral:rRNA from 1 species
CCUACGGGUGGCAGCAGUAGGGAAUAUUGCUCAAUGGGGGAAACCCUGAAGCAGCAACGCCGCGUGGAGGAUGAAGGUUUUCGGAUUGUAAACUCCUUUUGUUAGAGAAGAUAAUGACGGUAUCUAACGAAUAAGCACCGGCUAACUCCGUGCCAGCAGCCGCGGUAAUACGGAGGGUGCAAGCGUUACUCGGAAUCACUGGGCGAAAAGAGCGCGUAGGCGGGAUAGCAAGUCAGAUGUGAAAUCCUAUGGCUUAACCAUAGAACUGCAUUUGAAACUGUUAUUCUAGGGUAGGGGAGAGGGAGGUGGAAUUCUGGGUGUAGGGGUAAAAUCGGUAGAGACAAGGAGGAUUA